AAAAUUGGACUAUCUACAUGUUAAAAUAUCAACAAUAUACCAAUAAUUCCAAACCACACAGCCCAUCCAUCGGGCAAUCAAUCAAUUCACUUUCUCCCAUCCUCCAUAGUCUCCAUAUCAACAUAAAUUUAUAAAUGUUUCUUUAAUUCUAUAUAUUAUCAUUUCCUAACAAAUUCAUUUAUUACUCGAAUUUAAUUCUAAUCAAUCAAGUAAUUUUUAUUAAUCAAUGGAUCAACACUAAAUUAAAUUAAUUUAAUGAAUCAAAUAAUUAAACUAAUCAGUAGAUCUAACCAAAUUAAAUUAGUUAACUAAUCAAAAUUGCUAAAUUAAAUUAAUUAAUCAAGAUUGCUAAAAUCAAUCUCAUUAACUAAAUUACUAAAAUCAAAUUAAUCAACUAAAAUUAAGCUAACUAAAAGUACUAAAUUUAAUUAACUACCAUUAAUAAAAUUAAUUUAAUUGGCUAAAAUGUAUUUAAAGUAAUGUAUUAUUUUAUAUAUUUUUUUUUGUCGAAUUUUUUGCUAGAUCGGAAAUUUUCACGCAUGCCGGAUUGGAGCUAUGCGCGUUGGACGUACAAGCAGAUGGCCGGAGUCGGGCUGGGGCGGCUGGACCACCUCAAAUCGACGCGAAGGAGAAACUGAGUUGCAGUGGUGGCGCGAUCUGGCGGAGGAACGGG
rnacentral:lncRNA from 1 species